rnacentral:lncRNA from 1 species
CGGCAACAUGGAUGCUGCCAGCGAAAGCGAAGAGCCGGUUUCUGGGGAAGCGUUGUCCAUCGCCCAUGCUCUUUCUUACCCUCCCGAGUCAUAUGGCAACGACCCUGAUAUUGAAAUGGCUUGGGCCAUUCGAGCAAUGCAGCAUGCUGAAGUCUAUUAUAAAGUGAGUUGUCAUCAUUAAGCAGAAGUCAACAUGUAAUUUUGGUGUAUGAUGCUAUGCUGAUCUCGGUUCUCGGCAACUUAAAUUGUUAAGUUUUACUUGUUGUUUUAACUACUGAAAAAUCUUAUUUCCAGGGAACAAGGGUAAAGCGAAUUUGAUAAUGAGAAGUUCUGCUUGCCUGCCCCCCUGUUUUUGCUACCUGGAGGGAAGAUGCCUGACCCAAGAGUAUCAGACACUUAAAAUGUCUGUUGAAUGAAUGAACGAUCACGGAACUGGAGUCAGGCAAUACUAGGACUGAAGGGUUCAUUCAAUUGCCAAAAUAGUAAAAGGAAAAAAAGAAAGAAAGAAAAGGGAAAAACAAAAAGAGAGGGGACUGUUGUUGUGGCUCUUAAGACCAUCUUAAUGGUUUCAUGCAAGACCUGGGCUGUUAAUACUGUCUAAAGUAAUCUUCCGUCCUGAGAACCAUAAAGUUUUCUGAUGGUGUGGCACUGGCGGGGUAGAAGUCUAAACUAGUGACAAGUAUCUUUAUGUCUGUUUUGUCGUCUGGCAGCUGAUUUCAUCAGUUGACCCACAGUUUCUGAAACUCACCAAGGUGGAUGACCAAAUCUACUCUGAGUUCCGGGAAAAUUUUGAGACACUCAGGAUAGAUGUAUUGGACCCAGAAGAACUCAAAUCAGAAUCAGCUAAAGAGAAGUGGAGACCAUUCUGUUUAAAAUUCGAAGGGAUCGUAGAAGAUUACAACUAUGGUACUUUGCUGCGACUGGAUUGUUCUCAGGGCUACACUGAAGAGAACACUAUCUUUGCACCCAGGAUUCAAUUUUUUGCCAUUGAAAUUGCUCGGAACCGGGAAGGCUAUAACAAAGCAGUUUCCGUCAGUGUUCAGGACAAAGAAGGAAA